AGCAUCAUCACCCAAACAGAGCAACCCCAACAUAUAUAACCACGCACAUACCCAAGCACAACAGACAAAUUCCCCCACAUUAAUAUGCAGACACUGACCUUUCAAAAGAAAAAAAUAUGCAGACACUGCAUUCACGCAAUACAAUCCAUAAGCCACAUACCUCCACCUUCUGCACUAUCCUGGACAUGGCUUAGAAUAUUUAGAAAUCCUGCAUCCUAGACCCAACUCACAGAUAAAUCAUUUCAAUCAACUCCCAACUUUGCAAGAUAAUUAGUACAUUGGUUA
rnacentral:lncRNA from 1 species